UAUAUGUCAAACUGAAACUUGCUCCAUGCUUGCCUUGCAACCAUUAAAGUUUUUUUUUAUCCUGUCAAUUAUUUAUAUUCUUACUAGCUUUCCGAGCGUGUUUUACACGAUUUUGUCUGUUCGGUUUUAUCAAGUUAAAAUAUAGCCUAUGUCACUCAGUGAUAACGCCGCUAUACUCUGUGCUAUGCGCGGCGCAGCGCUGAGCAGCAACUGGGGAACUCCUGCCGCCCCCACCUUCUGAAGAACCGCUUGUGGCAUGUGGAUUGUUCCAGUCUGAAAUAAAUAUGACCGAAAUUAAAGUACUUAUAACUUAAUAAAUAUACAAUGGAUUGCAUUAUAA